rnacentral:rRNA from 1 species
GACGUAGGGGACGAGCGUUGUCCGGAUUUAUUGGGCGUAAAGAGCGCGUAGGCGGCUUGGUAAGUCGGAUGUGAAAUCCCGGGGCUCAACCCCGUGACUGCACCCGAAACUGCCCGGCUAGAGGUAGGUAGGGGAGAUCGGAAUUCCUGGUGUAGCGGUGAAAUGCGCAGAUAUCAGGAGGAACACCUGAGGCGAAGGCGGGCUACUGGGCCGAUACUGACGCUGAUGCGCGAAAGCCAGGGGAGCGAACGGG